rfam:Bat coronavirus HKT8, complete genome
GCAGUCUUAUACACUAUGGUAAGCCUGUAAUUAAAUAGUAUAAGCAAUGUUUAAUUAUAUUA